AAAACCGGUUCAUAUCAUCCCUCUCGUCAUUACUUGCGUUCGGGGACAGAUAUAUGCAAAACACUUUGCGGUUUUCAACCUGUAUCCCACACCACAAGUGCCCGAAUGAUUAGAAGUUAUCUCUGAGCAAUUCAUACUUCGUUUACAUAGAAUAAUUACAUCCCCGCCCCGACCACUUCGAGUGUCAAUUCGAUCCUUUCUUGCAGCCACUUUGUAAUGGCUGCUCGAGUUCUUCAUUUGGUAAAUCCUUAUGAAGCCAAGUUUCACUUAUCAUCAAUAAAUUUGGCGAUUCUUGACGAGUAAAACCUUAGUCUCCCACAGCUUGUUGGCAAUACUUCUAAUAUUGAGGUAAAGAAUGGAAGUCAUUUUUUUGGAUUUGAGUUUUUCAAGCGCCUUUUGUCUCCCACAAUAGUCACCCUGUCUUCCUGGGAUUUUGAUCUCAACUUCGGAGAUAUCAGAGGCACUGGCUUCAAGCUCUCUUUUAUCGGUCCAGUUCCUGUCACUUCAUUUACAUCGAGCGUUGGUUCCACUUCGUUGGCCUGAUAUCCUCUACGCUCCUUGUGAAACAUUUUUGGACCUGCUUGACCUUUUGCAAACCUGCUGAACUAAUUGGAGCCCAAAUGGGCGAGGAAUAUUCAAGAUGUGGCUGGACAAUCAACUUGUACAGAGUUAGCAUCGUGAUACUAUCUCUGUACUUAAACGUGCCAUAUAUCCAACCACAUGUUUGAAAAGCUUUACCCACCUUCAGCUGGAUAAGCUCAUCGAACUUUCCAUUAUUUUGGAGGACUACACUUAAAUCUUUCAUAGAUGAGACCUGUUCAAUAUAUUUACCUCCAUUAUCUACGAGUGGAGAAUUCAAAGGAGUUGACCCGAAGGUCAUUGAGCGGAGUUUCAUUUCGUUCAGGGCCACAUUUCUCUCAGUUACCCAAGAGUAGAUUCUUUCUAGGUCCUUUGCCAGACUAGUGAAAUCUUAGCCAUUCCUACCAGAAACUAACUUUGUAUCGUCAGCAUUAGAAGAGAGACUGGCAGUGAUACUAAGUUUUUGAAGCGGGGCAAUUGCCUCAAAAGCAUGUACAUUUCAAAGCAUAAAUCUUAUAUAUUUCGAAUCAUUUUAAUAUCUAUCAAACAUCGUCCGGGGGGAAUUGUAUGAUAGUCAAUCUACGUGGUUAUCAACCAUCUAUGACCACGAGAUGGUAUGCUGUCCUCUUUGAAAUGAACACGUGAAAAUCGAACACAUGCCAAAGUAAGUGGGUGUGACACGAGGUAGCGUCUUAGGACUGGUCUUAUUUCAAACUUUCAUCACCUCCUAAAGUGUUUCUGAAGGUCCCAAUAAGUUCAAAUUUACCGACGACACAAGAUUAUUUCAUAUUGGUCCAAGGGAAUCUGUCUUGUCUACCCUCCAGGCUGAUUUAUAACACAAAAAAUGCUAGGUAAUUCGGUUUGGACCGGAGGGAGAAUGAAUGCCUUUUAAAGCACGUCGGAUUUUGGGUGAGGAAACCAAACAAAAGCAGAACGAAGUUAACCGUAUGAUUUAAAGUAAAGUACUCUUGUUAUCAUGGGUUAGGUGUGAAUGAGACAUCGGACAAAGAAGGUUGAAACAAAGGUUUUGAAUUGAGGGAAAGUACAAUGCUAAUUGGGAAAUAAUAUAAGAGGAAACACAUAAGAGGAAACACUAAAUCUAUUAUCUACAAUCACACCAAAGUGCAAAUCUUAAAAGCUGUGAUGCAUGAAUGAUUUUAAAUACAUCUACAACCUAAACAAAAAGCGCUAAAAUAAAACGACCAAGAGUCGCAAUAAACAUUAUUAUUAUUAUUAAAUGCUGCAGUAUCAAACAUGGAUAUGCUCAGUUUUAUUUUCUUCUGUACCGUAUUCGAAAAUGGAGUUAUUUAACUUAGUUUCCAUAUGUGAGGUCGAGAAAGAACUUUCAAUUAAAGCCGUUAUUAUAAUUAGUAUGUUUCCGUACCUUCAAUUUAUCUUCUUGUGUCCAAUUAUUUUGGUUUUAUCACAUUUGUGUGUUAGUGAACAUAUGUUUAGAUGUCAAGUAGCUAUAAACGAGGGCAUGGCUAAUUAACUGAUUAUUUUAGAAACUCUUAAAUAACUAAUUCUUGAUUUUUAACAGAAAAUCAAUUAAUGUAUGAUCUGUGGAAAUCAAUAAUUUUGGACGCACAAAAUGGCACAAAUAGAAAUAAUCCAGUAAACGAUUAUUUUGUUGAGCAAAUCUACCGUAAAUUUUAGACGCCACAGUAUCCACAGAAGUGAUCAAAGUCAUAUUAUCCUCUAUGCAUUAUUUAUUGAAAAUUAGUAUUAAGGGACCAACUAAUAUUAUAAUUCAACUCAAGCUGAACAAGAAUGUAAAGUUAGAAACAUAUCUUAAUGUAGGACCAGGAUUUUUCAUAAACAAGUUAAAUAAGUAAAAGCAUGUCAAAAAUAUCAUGAUUGUCAGAGACUUGUUUGAUUCUCAUUUUUUUGGAUUUAAGUGCAAAUUGUACAAUUAUUUUGACAAAAUUACUUGUUGAAUAUGAAAUUCGAGGAAGAAUCUCUAACUUUUUUAUUUGGUCAAAUAAUUUAUGCCCUACAAUAGACGUUUGGUAUUUAAAUGUGGACACAUUUUGGAUCCCAACAUCAUUGUUCUCGAGAUACUAACACGUUCAUCGUCAUGAAGAACCUUCUUGCUCCUUUGGCUCUUGCUCUUGUUCUAUCCGCGCUUUUGGUCCAAACCGAGGCAAAAGGCAUGAACCUAGCCAAUAAAAAGUGCAGCAAUAAUCCAAGUUCCAGUGACAUAUUCAGAUCAGUUGAUAAAUGCAAGGAGACAUGUACUUCACUUGGUUCGAACUAUUCGUGGGUCACGUCUGCGCAUCGAUUUACCUGGCGUUGUGAUUGCUAUGAAACCUGCAAUCUCGUUGCUUCGUCGUCUGGGUUCAUUUCGUUACUUGGAAAAGAUGUGUCUAACAUCUUUUAGCAACCCAAUGAGAGAAAAAAAGACCUAAAAUUUUUACUUAUGGAAUAAAUGGAAAGCAUCUGAUA